GCCGGGUGUGGUGGUGCAUACCUGUAAUUCCAGCAGCUCAGGAGGCUGAGGCAGGAGGAUCACGAGUUCUAAGCCAGCCCCAGCAAAAGUGAGGCACUAAGCAACUCAGUGAGACCCUGUCUCUA
rnacentral:sRNA from 1 species